UCUCGGCUCACCACAACCUCCGUCUCCCAGGUUCAAACUAUUCUCCUGCCUCAGCCUUCUAAGUAGCUGGGAUUACAGGCAUGCGCCACCAUGCCCGGCUACACUUGCAGACUUUUUGCCUGCCCUGGGACCUAAAACAAGACCUUUGACACUCACAGCUUGACAGCUCAUUGUCCCCUCACCCAAACUCCCACACUGGUCCCCUGAAGUCCCUCCUCUGCUCUUCUGCCUCUGCAUGUGCGCCAUUGUAAGCCCUUGUUUCUCUGCAGUGCUCGCACACUCUGCAGGCCUCCCCCGGCCUCCAAUCCCCAUUGCUCCCCCCGUGAGGGUGGUGCUAGCCAUUUGCACACUCGAUCCACCACAGCUGGACCCCUGUGCUGGGGACUUCUUUAUGCAACGUGACGUUUUGCACAAAAAACGCAGGCCUCAUGGGUCCUAGCACCCCUCCCUUCCCACCCCCGAGUACAGCAUUCUCAGGAUCCCAUCCCCCACACAUGAAGACAGCCCUCUCUCACCAGAUCGGAACUUGGAGCGAAUGAUUUGGGAACGCUGGGAGGAGGCCGCCAGGGUCAUUGCCAAGGCCGGGAUGGGGACCUGGACGGAGAGGGGGCAGGGCAGGGGCCCCAUCGUGGGCUGGCUCACAGUGGAGGUCAGAAGGCUGGCCCUGUGAGUGAAUUCAGCAGGGAAAGGGCCCGAGGGAGGUGGGAAUAGGAGCAGCCUUGGGCCAUAACUUCUGGAUCCCAGGGGCUGUAGAGCAGGGGGCUGCAGACCUGGACACCUUGCUCCGAGCUCCCAGCCAACCUUCACCUCUUUCCAUCAGCGAGUUGAGAAGGGAUGCAUUGGAGAAGAAGAACAAGUAGCCAAAAGUCUGAGACACGAGGUCAGGGUGCAGCUCGCACUGGCUGGUCAGCUCCAAGGCGGCCUGGAACACGCCUAGGGUCCAGUGGCUUUGUGCUUCCUCGCCUCCAAGAAUGAAUUUGCUCACUACUAUCCAAACUCCAAGCCCAAUGGGCUGUAGUGAAUUCUCACAUUGACCUCUCCCAACUUCUCAUCCAGUGGGAUCUCUCCCCCAUCAUCUCCCAUAAUGGCUUCUUCCUAAGGUCCGAUUUGGGCGUCGGCUGCCCCUGGGGCCAUGCUAAGUGCCUGCUGUCUCCGCUCCUGCUGCCGCCGCCGCCGCCCCUGAAGGCUAAGCUCCGACACGCUGCGCCGCAAGGACAAGUUUUCCGAGCGCUCCUUGCCUCCAGACCCAGCUGGGGCCCCCGAUCCCGUCACCUGGCCAGGACUGGCCAGCGCCGCCCCGCCCGACGCCGCCCGGGAGCGGUUCUUCUGUGGCCGCCACGAAGGGGCGCCCGUGCCUGCCGAGAGAUGGAGAACAGUGAGGCUGAGCCUGGAAAGACAGGGACAGACACAGAGUUGCAGAUGAUGAGACAAAUAACUGGUUGCAGAGAGGUGAUGCUGCUUCCCACAUUUAGGAUUUAGGCUUUUGGGUAUUCUGUUCCCUGUGCCUGGAACACCCUUCUCUCCUGAUUAAUACCCAUCUUGCAGUUUUCAGCUCAGGAAUUUCAUUCAUUCUUUUCCAUUGAAU